rnacentral:rRNA from 1 species
CCUACGGGGGGCAGCAGUGGGGAAUAUUGCACAAUGGGGGGAACCCUGAUGCAGCGACGCCGCGUGAAGGAAGAAGUAUUUCGGUAUGUAAACUUCUAUCAGCAGGGAAGAAAAAGGACGGUACCUGACUAAGAAGCCCCGGCUAACUACGUGCCAGCAGCCGCGGUAAUACGUAGGAUGCGAGCGUUAUCCGGAUUUAUUGGGUUUAAAGGGUGCGCAGGCGGCCUGUUAAGUCAGCGGUAAAAGCCCGGGGCUCAACCCCGGCGAGCCGUUGAAACUGGCGGGCUGGAGUUGGAGAGAAGUAG